rnacentral:rRNA from 1 species
AACGCUAGCUACAGGCUUAACACAUGCAAGUCGAGGGGCAGCAUGGUCUUAGCUUGCUAAGGCCGAUGGCGACCGGCGCACGGGUGAGUAACACGUAUCCAACCUGCCGCCUACUCUUGGACAGCCUUCUGAAAGGAAGAUUAAUACAAGAUGGCAUCAUGAGUUCACAUGUUCACAUGAUUAAAGGUAUUCCGGUAGACGAUGGGGAUGCGUUCCAUUAGAUAGUAGGCGGGGUAACGGCCCACCUAGUCUUCGAUGGAUAGGGGUUCUGAGAGGAAGGUCCCCCACAUUGGAACUGAGACACGGUCCAAACUCCUACGGGAGGCAGCAGUGAGGAAUAUUGGUCAAUGGGCGAGAGCCUGAACCAGCCAAGUAGCGUGGAGGAUGACUGCCCUAUGGGUUGUAAACUUCUUUUAUAAAGGAAUAAAGUCGGGUAUGCAUACCCGUUUGCAUGUACUUUAUGAAUAAGGAUCGGCUAACUCCGUGCCAGCAGCCGCGGUAAUACGGAGGAUCCGAGCGUUAUCCGGAUUUAUUGGGUUUAAAGGGAGCGUAGAUGGAUGUUUAAGUCAGUUGUGAAAGUUUGCGGCUCAACCGUAAAAUUGCAGUUGAUACUGGAUAUCUUGAGUGCAGUUGAGGCAGGCGGAAUUCGUGGUGUAGCGGUGAAAUGCUUAGAUAUCACGAAGAACUCCGAUUG